rnacentral:rRNA from 1 species
GCGGAAGAAUGGGGGACAACGUUUCGAAAGGACGCUAAUACCGCAUACGUCCUACGGGAGAAAGUGGGGGAUCUUCCGAUAGAACGCUAUCAGAUGAGCCUAGGUCGGAUUAGCUAGUUGGUGGGGUAAAGGCCUACCAAGGCGACGAUCCGUAACUGGUCUGAGAGGAUGAUCAGUCACACUGGAACUGAGACACGGUCCAGACUCCUACGGGAGGCAGCAGUGGGGAAUAUUGGACAAUGGGCGAAAGCCUGAUCCAGCCAUGCCGCGUGUGUGAAGAAGGUCUUCGGAUUGUAAAGCACUUUAAGUUGGGAGGAAGGACAGUAAGUUAAUACCUUGCUGUUUUGACGUUACCGACAGAAUAAGCACCGGCUAACUUCGUGCCAGCAGCCGCGGUAAUACGAAGGGUGCAAGCGUUAAUCGGAAUUACUGGGCGUAAAGCGCGCGUAGGUGGUUUGGUAAGAUGGAUGUGAAAUCCCCGGGCUCAACCUGGGAACUGCAUCCAUAACUGCCUGACUAGAGUACGGUAGAGGGUGGUGGAAUUUCCUGUGUAGCGGUGAAAUGCGUAGAUAUAGGAAGGAACACCAGUGA